UUCGGUUUGUGAUGAUAACAUCAGCCAGAAUCUCAAGGAAUCUGUAUAUCCCUAUUUGGAAAUAACUGUUGUAGUAGUAAGCACUGUAUAGCUGAUGUGAUUUUAAACCAUUUUUUCUUAAUUUUGACUAUAAAAAGCUUAGGUUCUUUAUUGAUUUCACAUAUACACUAUAGUUUUAUAAUACUAUGUCACAACUUUAGGUCACCAGCUUUGAAAAGUAGCACACAUACCUAGUAUGUGUCAAAUUAAAACUAAUAAAAUAAAUAGAUAGAAAACAAGACUUUUGUGGUCCCCUUUACUUUGUCUUCUUUAUCAAUAAGUCAAUUCUCUACCCCCUGUAGGACAGCUUACAAACUUAUUAGUAUUAAUUAUUCAGAUAAGCUUUAAUUAAUGCUAAUCCCAAAUAUCUUCUUGUUUUUGUUAUGUUAUUUGAGUUUAACUUCUGUGUACCGACAGUGUAAAGCGACAGUAAAAAGUGGGAUUAGUAACCUUGAAUAAUAAGUAUGUUACUCGUUACAACAGGUUAAAAUAUACGUUCUUGUGAAAAAAAAGUAUACUAUGUUAUAAGUUAUGUAAGUUAAGUCCUUAUAAUUUACAUAACCUCUUGUUCUGAUCAGAUUUGAUUUAUGCAAUCCUAAAAUACCUUCUUGUUUUGUUCUGUUAGUUGAAUUUAACUUGUGUAUACUGACAGUGUAAAGCGGGAUUAGUAACCUUGAACACUAAGUAUGUUCCUUGUUAUAACAGGC
rnacentral:lncRNA from 1 species